UACGAAGGGGGCUAGCGUUGCUCGGAAUCACUGGGCGUAAAGGGUGCGUAGGCGGGUUUUUAAGUCAGGGGUGAAAUUCCUGGAGCUCAACUCCAGAACUGCCUUUGAUACUGAAGAUCUUGAGUCCGGGAGAGGUGAGUGGAACUGCGAGUGUAGAGGUGAAAUUCGUAGAUAUUCGCAAGAACACCAGUGGCGAAGGCGGCUCACUGGCCCGGUACUGAACGCUGAGGCACGAAAGCGUGGGGAGCAAA
rnacentral:rRNA from 1 species